UACGAAGGAGGCUAGCGUUGCUCGGAAUCACUGGGCGUAAAGGGCGCGUAGGCGGCGUUUUAAGUCGGAGGUGAAAGCCCAGGGCUCAACCCUGGAAUUGCCUUUGAUACUGGCUGUCUUGAGUACGGGAGAGGUGUGUGGAACUCCGAGUGUAGAGGUGAAAUUCGUAGAUAUUCGGAAGAACACCAGUGGCGAAGGCGACACACUGGCCCGUUACUGACGCUGAGGCGCGAAAGCGUGGGGAGCAAACAGG
rnacentral:rRNA from 1 species